UGUUGCCGAGGGGAGAGUGAUGGCGGCGCCGCCCAAUGGACGUGUGGGUGGAGGGGCCGGCUCACCCGCCCGCCCUGGCGGACAGGUCAGGGGGCCCUGCCCCUGAGUCCCGCCUCGCUGCUGCAUCCCUCUCCCCCUGCCCGUGCCCUCCGCCAGCCCAGCAGUGUGCCCCCAGCGUCUGGCCUCUAGUCAUUGGCAGACCGAAGGGCUUGAACCGCGGCUGAUUUAGCCUUUGUCCCUUGGCCUGGUUCCGCCACUGCCGUCGAGACCACCAGCCCCUCCCCGAUUUUUUUUACCCUCUCCCCCAGCACUGCCACUGGCGUGGUGGGGCUAAGCCCCCUCCAUUCUGCCUGCGUUGGAGAAACGUACCCGGUACCAGAAGGAAAGAAAGGUCUGGGGCUGGUCUCCAUGGCAACUGGAAGAAAGAGGAAUAACCUUGGAAACCCUGUAUCCAAACUCUGGAAAUCCCAGCUCCUGCAAGAACCCAUCCCAGAUGGAUCCUACAAGAACUAAGAACACCUGUAGCUAGCCUUCAAAAUCCCAGGCCCCAGUAUUGCUUAUCUUUCUGCCUACACCUCACCAAUCUGGUCCUCCUUGACCUGAGGGAGCUUUCCUCCAAGCCUGUUGAGCUGUGAUAGAUCAUCCUGAAGAAUCAAGAAUCAUCACCUAAGGCUGCCAAGAUGAACCCCAAUAUCAAAAUGACACCGAAAAUAGGUGUAGGGGUUUUUUUGGGUGUGUGUGUGUGUGUGUGUGUUUUGCAGUGUACGUAAUGCCCUUACAUGUCAUUUCAUCAAGCAACACUUGGAUAAUGAGGCAAAUUAACCAGAGGCACACAGCUUAAAUGAUAGAGCCUGGAUUCCUGAGAAGUUCAGCUACCCUCUGCGUUACAGUUACCAAAAGGCACAGAUUCAGUAAAAUUCCAAUAAAUUAGUGGAAGGCUUUUUGUCAUCUUAAAUAAAUAUGUUUCUUCAUUCCCUGGUGUAAGCUUACAGUGUGUGGCUAUCGUUAAAGUUUAUCCAAAAUAACAGGUGAAGCAUAUACUAAUGACAAUUAGGCAAGAUGUUUAUAAUCCUAAAAGUAAAAAUGCAAAUAAACUGAACAAAAGAAACCAGA